rnacentral:Y_RNA from 1 species
GGCUGGUCCGAUGGUAGUGGGUUAUCAGAACUCAUUAACAUUACUGUCACUAAAGUUGGCAUACGACCCCCCACUGCUAAGUUUGACUGGCUUUAA